GGGGAUGAGGCUGGUGUUGCUGGGUCUACAUGUUGGUCUCUUUUUAAUCGAAGUUCUGCCAAAAUUGGAGGCACUGAUCCAAAAUACUUACAGGGAGGAGACCCUUCAGGUCAUGAUUGGGUGCCUGCUGAGUGUGAUGUCUCCAUUAGGACUGGCUGGUUUUGGCAUGCAUCAGAAAUCCCAAAAUCUGCAAUGAGGCUUCUUGAUAUAUAUUACAAAUCUGUUGGCAGAAACUGCCUAUUGUUAUUAAACGUGCCCCCUAACUCUUCAGGCCUUGUAUCAGCUGAAGACAUUAAAGUGCUUCAAGAAUUUACUGAACUCCAGAAGUCUAUAUUUUCUUAUAAUCUAGCCAAGAAUGCUCUUCUUAGUGCCAGCAGUACACGAGGCGGCAUUGUCGAUUCACGGUUUGACCCCAACAAUGUCCUUGAAGAAGGAAUCUACACGUAUUGGGCUCCUGAGGAGAAUCAAUCAAAUUGGGAGUUAUAUUUAGAUCUUUCGGAGUCGGUAUCUUUCAAUGUUCUGCAAGUGCAAGAACCAAUUCAAAUGGGACAACGGAUUAUUGAGUUCCAUCUUGAGAUUGAAAAAGAUGGGGAAUGGAAAAAAGUGAUCAAUGGCACCACAGUAGGAUAUCAGAGGCUUUUGCAAUUUCCCACUGUAGAAUCUCAGCACCUGAAAUUUGUUAUAGACAAGAGUCGGGCAGACCCACUAAUUUCUUUUUUUGGGUGUCUAUAUGGAUUCAUUUUCCCUUGUGGGUAAUAAAUUAUUUGAUAAUAGCUCACAAAUGCACUUCAACAGCAGUGUAGCAGUUCAGGAAGCUAGAUGCAACCAUUUCUUGAACAGCAGUGAAGUACUUCGGCAAACUACUCCCAAUCAUACUCAAACUGCUGCAUUGUAAUGUAUGUAGAUUUCCAUUACCUUGUUGCAGAGCUGAUUGUUCAAUCUUCCAAUUCAUUGUUAAAACAUGCCUUACGAUGCAUGCUUUUCAAGUCCAAUU
rnacentral:misc_RNA from 1 species